rnacentral:tRNA from 1 species
AUAUCUCAAGUGGUAAAGUAUGUGUCUAGCAAACACAAGGCCCUGAGUUCAAAUCCCAGU